ACAAUACAGUACCGUCCGCUUCCCACUCAUACGAAAUCCGCUCUAAAGCGAUGUUUUCGUAGUAGUAUUCGCAGGAAUAAAUGACAUACCUUGGCAAAUAUAUAUAACACACGAAGGAAAGAUUUCAUUAUAAAAGCAAGAAAAAUAAUGAACGCGUCGAAGUUAAACCAAAUAUGAAUAAUGCAAAUCAGUAUGCUGCAAAUCACAAACUUCUCCAUUGCAGUUCCUUAUGCCUUCUCGAAAGGUAGUCAUUCUUUUGCAUCGAGAAGCGAGAAGAUCAUUGAUUGAGGAUAAAGUGAGAGAUACCUGCGAAUAAUUGUCUUAAUGAGUUAAAGAAGGCUUCUGUCUCACGCUUUACGUUUCGCUUUGAUAUGCAAAGCCAUGGUUAGAAUUGCAGACGGCACAGCGGGAAACCCAAACCGUGAAACAAUUGAAAUAGCGAAGACUUUGAGCUUUUCCGAGAACAUAACGUUUAUUAAGUCAUGGUAGAUGAAACUUGAAUUGUCACUUCUUUCUUUUUAAAGUUAAAGCUUAGCUGCAUUUAUCCUAAAUCUUAAAAAAAGACAUUUGCAGCUUUGCUUCAAACAUUUUUAAUUAAAAUACCCUACAGGUAUCAUGAUGUUUCCACGAAUUUUUGUAUUAACUCCCAUCAUGCGCAUCACCUGCCGAUGUCAUGGGGUUUCCCCUUGAUACAACCACCUAUUGUAAUAUCGUCUGAAGUGAGGGUUAAGCGGAAACGAACUUACAGCUGCUGUAAACAGUCAAGUCAACAAGCUAUCUUACGCUGUUUGGCCUAUAAAGACUUAAGUUAGCACAAGCCAAGGGGGUAAAUCGUAUCGUACAAUCAUGGAAGGCCAAAACGAAGAUCCUGAAGAACCUGCAGAAGCCCCAGAAAGACGCUUUGUCGAUGACAUAGAUUUGAUGUAUCUCUUUCUUUUUAUUCCAAUAAUCCUCUAUUUAUUCAUCGAUGGAGAAAAAUAUCCCAAUAUUCAGAUGAUAGGUCUGUUAUUUGUGAUUUUGAUAGUUUCUUACAUGUACAGUGAAAUAGCUGGGUUAGAUAUUCGAAGAUAAUCACGAUAAGAAGAAUUCAUGAAUUUCACUGUUUCUAAGAAACGUUUUAUUGUUAUGUAAUUCAGUUUAGAUGCAUGGUUUUUGCAAGUAUUUGUAGAUAUGCACACAUUUAGAUAAAUUGUAUGUUUCAUGUAUUGGAUGAACUGUGUUAAAAUGCAAGGAACCUCAACGAGGAAUUUCUAUGCUAUAGAAAGAUCAAUGUACUUAUUUGUACUUAAGUAACAAUGCGCUAAAGAACUAGGGAACUCUCUAUUGUUCUGCGGCAUAGCAAGUUCCCCAUGUACGAAUGUCUUGGUUUKCACWCUGAUHAUGUAYCCAUCUGUGGGUAACACAUUUUUGAAAUAAAAUGUUGAUAAACUCUA